AAAUUAAAUUUUUAUUUUAAAUUUCAGUUUUAUCAAAUGUUUCAAAAGCAACCAACAGUACAAACUUAAAUUGUUGAGAAUAUGUUUGAAAAUGAAAUUAAAUCAAAUUAAAAUAAAAUAAUAUAGAUUUUCAACAUACUUUUGUCACGACAGGAUCUCUUCACAUUUAAACUCGAUUUACUUUUAUUUUGAAAAACUCUGAGAAGUCAAACUUCAGAAAGUCAAACUUCAGGAUGUAUUGAGCACUAAAUAACCUGUAGAUUGAUCAGUAUAGUACGGUAACACAUGAAACGAAAAACAACGCGUUAUAAGAAAAAAUGAUCGACUUUGAAAUUUACUUAUCAUGGUUGGAAACACAUUUCUGGAUCUACACGCGAAAACCGGGCUGAAGGGCUUGUGGUCCUCUGUUGAGAACACCACCCGUCCCGCGCGGCACAAGACAGCCCGAGAGUCCCCGCAGUUAACAAAGUAGAUGUGGUGUGGCGUGAUAGCUGUGGCGACCACAGUGGUACCUCCUCGUUCCCAACCCUCGCGGCAGGCCAUGGCAUGAAGGUGCUUGUCCAUGAGGAAAAAACCCUCCUUGAUGCCCUCAGUGACCCUUUCUAUGUCUUCUUCUGCUCGGAUCUUGCCUGAGAAAGAAUAGGACUUAUUCAGCUAAAUAAACCAACACUAUUUAGUCUGCUGUGAUGUGCUCCAGCAGAUUUCGAGAGCAGUGUUGGGCCACCAUGCUGCCAGCGUGCCCAUCAUACACGGCGAAAAAGCCCCAAUGGGAAAGUUCACCCCCCAGUUGAGGGAAGCAGUUAUGAAA